GGAUCUGCCUCGUGUCCAGGCGAGGAGGGCCAUCCCCAGGAUCGAGCUGACCACGGCGCCUCUGUCACCUGUGCCAUCGAGCUGGCCUCUGGCUCCAUGGCAUUUCGGCCGGCCUUCUGGGUGACAACGAGGCUGGCGAUGAGCUGAUGGUGCCAGAUGCACAGUGGCCAGCAGCCUGGAGAUCACCCUCACCUGGCAGGUAGGUGGCGACUGCAGGGCAUGGAGAAGACUCAGCAGGCGUGCCGGGGACAGAGUCCGCCUGCCGGCCUUCUCCCAGGACCCCCACUCAGCCUGGGGAAGUGCUUCCGGUGGGGAGUGCGAGGCUGGGCCUGGACCCUACAGAGGCCAC